rnacentral:rRNA from 1 species
AGUCGAGCGCACCCUUCGGGGCGAGCGGCGGACGGGUUAGUAACGCGUGGGAACAUACCCUUUUCUAUGGAAUAGCCUUUGGAAACGAAGAGUAAUACCAUAUACGCCCUUCGGGGGAAAGAUUUAUCGGAGAAGGAUUGGCCCGCGUAAGAUUAGAUAGUUGGUGGGGUAAUGGCCUACCAAGUCUACGAUCUUUAGCUGGUUUUAGAGGAUGAUCAGCAACACUGGGACUGAGACACGGCCCAGACUCCUACGGGAGGCAGCAGUGGGGAAUCUUAGACAAUGGGCGCAAGCCUGAUCUAGCCAUGCCGCGUGUGUGAUGAAGGCCUUAGGGUCGUAAAGCACUUUCGCCAGAGAUGAUAAUGACAGUAUCUGGUAAAGAAACCCCGGCUAACUCCGUGCCAGCAGCCGCGGUAAUACGGAGGGGGUUAGCGUUGUUCGGAAUUACUGGGCGUAAAGCGUACGUAGGCGGAUCAGAAAGUAGGGGGUGAAAUCCCGAGGCUCAACCUCGGAACUGCCUCCUAAACUCCUGGUCUUGAGUUCGAGAGAGGUGAGUGGAAUUCCAAGUGUAGAGGUGAAAUUCGUAGAUAUUAGGAGGAACACCAGAGGCGAAGGCGGCU